rnacentral:rRNA from 1 species
AAGCAUAUCAAUAAGCGGAGGAAAAGAAACCAACCGGGAUUGCCUCAGUAACGGCGAGUGAAGCGGCAAGAGCUCAAAUUUGAAAGCUGGCUCCUUCGGGGUCCGCAUUGUAAUUUGCAGAGGAUGCUUCGGGUGCGGCCCCUGUCUAAGUGCCCUGGAACGGGCCGUCAGAGAGGGUGAGAAUCCCGUCUGGGAUGGGGUGUCCGCGCCCGUGUGAAGCUCCUUCGACGAGUCGAGUUGUUUGGGAAUGCAGCUCUAAAUGGGUGGUAAAUUUCAUCUAAAGCUAAAUACUGGCCGGAGACCGAUAGCGCACAAGUAGAGUGAUCGAAAGAUGAAAAGCACUUUGAAAAGAGAGUUAAAAAGCACGUGAAAUUGUUGAAAGGGAAGCGCUUGCGACCAGACUCGCCUCCAGGGUUCAGCCGGCAUUCGUGCCGGUGUACUUCCCUGGGGGCGGGCCAGCGUCGGUUUGGGCGGCCGGUCAAAGGCUCCCGGAAUGUAGUGCCCUCCGGGGCACCUUAUAGCCGGGAGUGCAAUGCGGCCAGCCUGGACCGAGGAACGCGCUUCGGCACGGACGCUGGCAUAAUGGUCGUAAACGACCCGUCUUGAAACACGGACCAAGGAGUCUAACAUCUACGCGAGUGUUCGGGUGUCAAACCCGUACGCGCAGUGAAAGCGAACGGAGGUGGGAGCCCCCUCGUGGGGCGCACCAUCGACCGAUCCUGAUGUCUUCGGAUGGAUUUGAGUAAGAGCGUAAAUGUGGGGACCCGAAAGAUGGUGAACUAUGCCUGAAUAGGGCGAAGCCAGAGGAAACUCUGGUGGAGGCUCGCAGCGGUUCUGACGUGCAAAUCGAUCGUCAAAUUUGGGUAUAGGGGCGAAAGACUAAUCGAACCAUCUAGUAGCUGGUUCCUGCCGAAGUUUCCCUCA